rnacentral:rRNA from 1 species
GAUGAACGCUGGCGGCGUGCCUAAUACAUGCAAGUCGAGCGAACAGACGAGGAGCUUGCUCCUUCGACGUUAGCGGCGGACGGGUGAGUAACACGUAGGUAACCUACCUAUAAGACUGGGAUAACUUCGGGAAACCGGAGCUAAUACCGGAUAAUAUUUCGAACCGCGUGGUUCGAUAGUGAAAGAUGGCUUUGCUAUCACUUAUAGAUGGACCUGCGCCGUAUUAGCUAGUUGGUAAGGUAACGGCUUACCAAGGCAACGAUACGUAGCCGACCUGAGAGGGUGAUCGGCCACACUGGAACUGAGACACGGUCCAGACUCCUACGGGAGGCAGCAGUAGGGAAUCUUCCGCAAUGGGCGAAAGCCUGAUGGAGCAACGCCGCGUGAGUGAUGAAGGUCUUCGGAUCGUAAAACUCUGUUAUUAGGGAAGAACAAACGUGUAAGUAACUGUGCACGUCUUGACGGUACCUAAUCAGAAAGCCACGGCUAACUACGUG